rnacentral:rRNA from 1 species
GACGAACGCUGGCGGCGUGCUUAACACAUGCAAGUCGAGCGGUAAGGCCCUUUCGGGGGUACACGAGCGGCGAACGGGUGAGUAACACGUGGGUGACCUGCCCUCAGCUCUGGGAUAAGCCUGGGAAACCGGGUCUAAUACCGGAUAUGACUCCAUGACGCAUGUUGUGGGGUGGAAAGCCUUGUGCGGCUGAGGAUGGGCCCGCGGCCUAUCAGCUUGUUGGUGGGGUGANGGCCUACCAAGGCGACGGCGGGUAGCCGGCCUGAGAGGGCGACCGGCCACACUGGGACUGAGACACGGCCCAGACUCCUACGGGAGGCAGCAGUGGGGAAUCUUGCGCAAUGGGCGAAAGCCUGACGCAGCGACGCCGCGUGAGGGAUGACGGCCU